rnacentral:lncRNA from 1 species
GGCACUGCUGCACUGGGAAGAAAAAGAAGGACAUGGAGGAAGAGGAGGAGAAGAAAGGAAGAGCAGGAAGAGGAGGAGCAGGAGCUGGAGCUGGAGCAGGAGCAGGAAGAAGAAUUAAUAGCUGGAGCUGGGUGGGAUGGGAAUUUCCAAAACUAGCUCUGCCACUGAGUGUGUCUGCUGACAGACCACAGCCAGAGCCCGAAGGAUGAAAGCACCUUGAAAAACAUCUUUUUAGAAGCUCAUUAUUGUAAACUUGAAAUACAUGGGGCACAUCCUUUCCAAGUCUUUCCCCGCUCCAGGCAAAAGAGUAGCAAGUUUGCCGCAAAGGUGUUUAAUGUGUCGUUCAUAUCAUCUUCUGGGGAGAGACGCCAUCAGUAGCUCAACCUCCAUAUCCACAGGCUUGGCAUUGGCUCUGAACUCAUCUCCCAGGCUUCCUCUUCAUCAAGAGAAAGAAGAAGGCAUCUCCAAAACAGAUAAAUGUGUUGGGGAUUGAAUCAGGGAGGAAUGCCAACGGAAAAGUUGACUGAAUGUUAAAAAACAUUGCUAUUUCCUGAAGUUUCUGUUGAGUUAAUUGUAACUCAGCCCUUACACUGACAAAACUAAUAGUGAAAUUGAUUUGUUUAAAAACACAUCUGCCUGGAUACAGCAUUUCUGUUAUUUUCCCUGACGUUCUGCUCUUAUCUCAGUAAAAUCCAUGUAUUGCAGUACAGUGGCAGUAUUGCAGUCUUGUUCAAAUAAAUGUAAUAUCAUUUCUCUCUGAAGCA